AGGACUCUGAUUCACCCAAUUGGCGGAAGAGCAUUUGAGCCUCAUUCAGCACAUCGUGGGAUCAUCGAUUGCAUACAAAAGGCAUACACGCAGGCUAUAAAAUCAUUUAAGGUUGCUCCUUAAUAUCUGAAGGACGUGUGGUUUAAUGAGUUUAAGAAACAUUAUAGAUGGGAUCCACUAGAGGAGAAUACUGUACGCCGCAUCUUUGAGAAAAAAGGUGCAAAGCUCCUUACAGACCAUCUGACAGUGGUUCGUGUGGGCUUGACAAAAAAACAAAACCAAACCACAUUGGAUUCCUAAUGAUGUGCUAGAUGACUUGGUCCGCAUUUGAGAGAGUGAUGAUUUCAAAAAGCUCUCGGAGAAAAACAAGAUUAAUAGAAAUUCAAAUUCUGGAGGACUAGGUGCAUCACUUCACAGUUGUGGUUCUAUUCCUAUGACUGAACAUC